GUCAGUUUCCAAAGCGUGUUUAACUGCUAUGCAAUUUUUGAGGACAUAAAAUGGAGUCUCUAAACAGGAUCCUUGGAUUCUUGAAUGACAUAUAAUACUCUUCAGUUACAUGUUAUAAUCACUUUAAAUUUACUAGGAGGGAAAAGCUUUUUUUGUAGGCACCUCAAAGGGUUAAAAUAUGUGUAGCAAAUACUUGUAAUUUAUAAGAAGUAGAAUAAAUCAUGUUUGUCUGCAAAUGUUGAAUACUAUACAGUUUCCUAAAAGUGUGCUUCCUUUAUUUAGGAUUCAGUCCACCACACACGGUUUACCUGCAAACUGAACAUGUAUCAGACCUGCUGUUUGCUACUUCCGAGCCACUCUGCAUCGUCUGCAACAAGCGAUUCAGCUCCAAAGCAAAGUUGAAGAGGCAUGUGGAGGAGAAACACGUCGCCAAUCGGAAGCGGUACAACUGUGAUGUCUGCCUGAAAGAUUUUUCGAGACAAGAGUAUGUUGUGCUGCAUAAGAAAAUGGUGCAUGGUAUAUUUUUGCAGACCAAAAAUUGAGCUUUUUGAUUGCUCUGUGACUUUUAACUAUUCUUUGGAUAUUCAUUUUUGAUAUGAGAAAAUGAUAGAAAUAUACAAUAAAGAAAGAUUUGAUGAGAUAUAUUUUGAUGAAAUUGGAAAGAAUUAGUGCUAUAAAUAUAGAUACAAGUAUGGUGACCAGCAACAGGCUAAUGGGUUCAGCUAGGCUAAUCCUAGUCAAUUUAUUAGUCCCCUAUAAAUAUCAAUGAUUCUCUUAAAGCUAUCUACCCCCUUGCUCAUUAGAACUUCAUCCAAGUGCCCACAACCUUACUCAAGAAGUAAUUUUUCCUAAUUUCCAGGUUAGCCUGAGAUUUGAAUAGCUUAAAACAAUGACCCCCUCGUCCCGCUUUUCGUGGAAAAAUUUAAUCCGUUAACAUCUUUCAUCCUGAUAAAUUUGAACAACUGCAUCAUGUCCCCUCUGACCCUCGUUUGCUUCAGGCUAUAUAUAUUAAGCCAAUUAAAUCUGGUAUCAUAAUCUAAAUCUGAAAGUCCCCUUACUAGCUUAGUAGACCUUCUUUGAACUCUUUCCAAUAAAGAAAUUAUAUCUUUCUUGAGAUGAGACCAAAACUGAACAGCAAAAUAGAGGAGAAUGAGAUAAGGAGGAGAAGAAUGAUGUUUACUAUUUCCUUUUGAAUUGUAUGAACUGCGUGAAAUAGUUCAGUAAUUUAAUAGAAGAGACAAAAGCAGUUAUUUUGAUUCCUACAAGCAAUGCACUAACAUUUUAAAACUAUAAGUAACAAGAUUCUUCAAUCAAGAGAACUUUUAUGUUUUGACACUUUUUCAAGUAAUGUCCGGAUGUUGCUCACUAUUUUGUUAUGUGAUAUGAUCCAAUAUGUUUGUCCUCUGCCCACAGUGGAGCUUCAGAAAAUGACGAUGGAUUUUCACUUAGAAAAACAAAAUGUGAGAUUAUUGAAAGUGCCCUUUACUUCGAGGCAGAUCCCAGUGCGAACCGAUGCGUCUGCACCAUCUGUUAUCGACAAUACCAUUCUGAGCAGACUCUAAAGCGGCAUGUGUUGGAGCGGC